UACGUAGGGUGCGAGCGUUGUCCGGAAUUAUUGGGCGUAAAGAGCUCGUAGGCGGUGUGUCACGUCGGCCGUGAAAACCUGCAGCUUAACUGUGGGCGUGCGGUCGAUACGGGCAUCACUGGAGUUCGGCAGGGGAGACUGGAACUCCUGGUGUAGCGGUGAAAUGCGCAGAUAUCAGGAGGAACACCGGUGGCGAAGGCGGGUCUCUGGGCCGAUACUGACGCUGAGGAGCGAAAGCGUGGGGAGCGAACAGG
rnacentral:rRNA from 1 species